rnacentral:lncRNA from 1 species
AUGGAGGAGGGAUACCCGACCGUGCCUGGGCACGUACUGAUGAGGGGAAGCUCACCUAAUACACUGAGGAUGAGAAGCAAAAAACGGAUUUCCUUUAAACAUAAUGUUUCGAAGAAUGAGCCUUCGUCCACUAACGUGAAGAGAUCUGCCACAGCCUCUUCACCGGGACUUACCCGUUUUUUGCUUCUCAUCCUCAGUGUAUUAGGUGAGCUUCCCCUCAUCAGUACGUGCCCAGGCACGGUCGGGUAUCCCUCCUCCAUUUCUUGCGGUUGCUUGAGCUUAAACUCUAGUAUUGCCGUGCAGACUAAGUCAAGCAGGACCAAGAAAGAAAGAAAUUUUACAUUAGCCAACGGUUUUUGGAGGUCUUAUGAGCUUAAACAAGACCGAUAUUCUUGUGUAGAAAAGUAGAACUUGGGAAAUAAGUGAUUUCGGGCGACUUUUUUAGAUUCUUGAAGCCCUCUUGUGUUUACCGUUUCAGAUUGCGGGUUUGGUCUUUGGUGAGUUGAAAGUGAAAGUUGCUUAGUCGUGUCUGACUUUUUGUGACCCCAUGUACUAUGCAGUCCAUGGAAUUUUCCAGACCAGACUACUGGAGUGGUUAGCCUUCCCUUUUGCUGGGAUCUUCCCAACGCAGGGAUGGAGCCCAGGUCUCCCGCAUUGUAGGCGAAUUCUUUUCCAGCUGAGACACAAGGGAAGCCCAAUAUCCAUAAAAUCACAAUGGGGUUUUUCAAGCGAUACAGGAUGGCCGCUUGGACACGGCUGAGCAUUAAACCAGCCAGACUUCUCGCUCCCCAUGGACGGAACCCAGGCUUUGGAUAUUGGCAGACAGACAGGUUAUCAUUAUUAUUAUUAUGUUUAUUUUUUUGCUGAUUAGAGUUUCCCUGGUGACUUAGAGAGCCUGCUUUCAAUGCAG